CAAAGGAGGUAGUGUUACUCCCAGAUCCUACAGCUGAAUUGGUUCCUCGACGGGGAACGAAGCGAUGGCUGUUUGAUAAUGGUCAUGUCAAGAACGCAGUGGAGUUUCAAAAAGACUGGGAUGCCAAGACCAUAAUGGAACAUCUCCAAAUGGUUUUUCAAGAUAAAAUUGAUUCCACCACACAAUUUGAAAUUCUAAUGGGACUUCAUAAUAAAGUGGUAAAGCCUAACCUGGUUGCUGGCCAAACUCUGAGUGGAUUUUUAAUUCACAAAGUAUUUGCAUCUAAAGCCUUGUAUCUUAGACCAAACAAGAUGCUGCUUCAGAUGCCACAUGGUGACACAAACAAGAUCACAAAUGCUUAUGCCAGUGACUUUCAAGAUGAAUCAUAGAAGCCUUUAAAUGACGAGUCACAUUGUGAAGUACACCAAACGGGUGAAGAACUGCACCAAGAGAUACCAACCCUUCAGCUGACAAACACUGAUGUUAUAUGCAGCACACCGUUCUCUGAUUUAGGGAAUUACGAAGUAGUCUGUUCUGUUUCACAACUUCAGUUGAUGACACAAACUCGGACACCUCCAAACCUACAUUCCAGCUGCACAGCCACUGCAGAAGAAAGUAAAUCCAGUGACCCAUAUCAUCAGUAUAUCAACAUAUUGGAUUUAACUCAAGAUGACAACUCUGAAGCUUCCAUUCUUUUGGAUGACAAUCUUAUUG